rnacentral:lncRNA from 1 species
UUGGAGAAUUCAAACUUUGAUAUAUUUAGCUUAAGGAAAAUAUUCAAAGGCAUGAAAAGUGGAGGGGUUUGAAUAGAGUUUAAAGAAAUUUGAGGGUUGUUUUGCAAGUAAUAAAAUCAGAAAAAAAUUAGCUACUUGGAUCACCUAUAGGGACGGUUUUGGGCUUCCAAUUGCCUUAGUGGGUCAGUCUUCUCUACUUAGCAUAUUAGGUCAUUUUCUUCUUCAAGCUUUAUAUUAAUUUUUAACCCAAUUAAAU